UCCCAGUGAUGAGACCAAGGCGAAUACGAGCUUACUGAACGAGAGCUGGGUUCUUCUUGCCUCUAUUGGCAGGUAAUCUUGGCAGUGCAGAGGAGCAUUCCUGCUCUGCUGUAAGGGCUUGCCUACAGUGACCUAGCUUACCCCAAAUUAGUCCUUUUUUAAAGUUAAAGUGGAGUAAUCAUGGGUAUAAAGCUGACAGUAUGUGUAUAUGUGUAAGGGGCAAGGAGCUCACCCAGCUCUCUUCAAUGUUCAGUGAACUGUGAGUUGCUUCUUUGGUAAUCUGAGGGUC